rnacentral:rRNA from 1 species
CCUACGGGAGGCUGCAGUGAGGAAUAUUGGUCAAUGGCCGGAAGGCUGAACCAGCCAUGCCGCGUGAAGGUCAGUGCCCUAUGGGCGUUAAACUUCUUUUGUGCGGGAGCAAUAAUGGUCACGUGUUCCCAGACGAGAGUACCGUACGAAUAAGCAUCGGCUAACUCCGUGCCAGCAGCCGCGGUAAUACGGGGGAUGCAAGCGUUUUACGGGGUUAUUGGGUGUAAAGGGGGCGUAUGCGGUGGGCUAAGUCAGCGGUGGAAUACCGCGGGUCAACGGGGUGAAGGGCCGUUGAUACUGGCUUGCUGGAAUGCGGAUGCAGUGGGAGGAAUGUGUGGUGUAGCGGUGAAAUGCAUAGAUAUCACGCAGAACACCGAUUGCGAAGGCAUCUCACGAAUCCGCGAUUGACGCUGAUGCACGAAAGCGUGGGUAUCGAACAGGAUUAGAUACCCGAGUAGUC